UACGGAGGCAGCAGUGGGGAAUAUUGCACAAUGGGCGAAAGCCUGAUGCAGCUAUGCCGCGUGUAUGAAGAAGGCCUUAGGGUUGUAAAGUACUUUCAUCGGGGAGGAAAAAACAAAACUAAUAAUUUUAUUUCUUGACGUUACCCGAAAAAGAAGCACCGGCUAACUCCGUGCCAGCAGCCGCGGUAAUACGGAGGGUGCUAGCGUUAAUCAGAAUUACUGGGCGUAAAGAGCACGUAGGUGGUUUUUUUAAAGUCAGAUGUGAAAUCCCUGGGCUUAACCUAGGAACUGCAUUUUGAAACUGAAAUACUAGAGUAUCGUAGAGGGAGGUAGAAUUCUAGGUGUAGCGGUGAAAUGCGUAGAUAUCUGGAGGAAUACCUGUGGCGAAAGUGGCCUCCUAAACGAAUACUGACACUGAGGUGCGAAAGCGUGGGGAGCAAACAGGGAUUAGAUACC
rnacentral:rRNA from 1 species